UACGUAGGGUGCAAGCGUUGUCCGGAAUUAUUGGGCGUAAAGAGCUCGUAGGCGGUUUGUCGCGUCGUCUGUGAAAACCCACGGCUCAACUGUGGGCUUGCAGUCGAUACGGGCAGGCUAGAGUUCGGUAGGGGAGACUGGAAUUCCUGGUGUAGCGGUGAAAUGCGCAGAUAUCAGGAGGAACACCGGUGGCGAAGGCGGGUCUCUGGGCCGAUACUGACGCUGAGGAGCGAAAGCGUGGGGAGCGAACAGG
rnacentral:rRNA from 1 species